AAAUUGAAGAGUUUGAUCAUGGCUCAGAUUGAACGCUGGCGGCAGGCCUAACACAUGCAAGUCGAACGGUAACAGGAAGAAGCUUGCUUCUUUGCUGACGAGUGGCGGACGGGUGAGUAAUGUCUGGGAAACUGCCUGAUGGAGGGGGAUAACUACUGGAAACGGUAGCUAAUACCGCAUAAUGUCGCAAGAC
rnacentral:rRNA from 1 species